CGUGUAUGUGAUCCACUGCAUAGCAGAUAGGGGAACGACUGCAAAGUGAUACGAGUACCACAUUAAUGUAGCAGUAAACAAGAGGGGGACCAAAUGUGUGGUUGAUUUUUUACCAUGUAUGAUGUAAUGAAAGCAAAAUGUAUCUAAGUAAUCUGGGUGAAUAUGUUGUGUGUUAUAAAUGUCUGUAUUAUUUUCAAUGUUUCUCUAUUCAUUUCCUCUUCAGCGAUAUCCAGCACCGCCGGAUCAGGACAAGGUGCAUGGCCAGAACGGCAAAAGGGCCCCAAUGCUCUAGGAAUGCUAAAGAACGGCUAGAAUACCGGGACUAUUGCCGGCAGCAUUCGAUAUCCAGCACCGCCGGAUCAGGACAAGGUGCAUGGCCAGAACGGCAAAAGGGCCCCAAUGCUCGAGGAAUGCUAAAGAACGGCUAGAAUACCGGGACUAUUGCCGGCUGCAUCCGAUAUCCAGCACCGCCGGAUCAGGACAAGGUGCAUGGCCAGAACGGCAAAAGGGCCCCAAUGCUCUAGGAAUGCUAAAGAACGGCUAGAAUACCGGGACUAUUGCCGGC